AUUGAACGCUGGCGGCAGGCCUAACACAUGCAAGUCGAGCGAGCGGCGGACGGGUGAGUAAUGUCUGGGAACCUGCCUGAUGGAGGGGGAUAACUACUGGAAAAGGUAGCUAAUACCGCAUACCCUCAGAUUUGUCCAGAUGGGAUGCGCUGGUCGGUGGGGUAACGGCUCACCGAGGCGACGAUCCCUAGCUGGUCUGAGAGGAUGACCAGCCACAUGGGAACUGAGACACGGUCCAGACUCCUACGGGAGGCAGCAGUGGGGAAUAUUGCACAAUGGGCGCAAGCCUGAUGCAGCCAUGCCGCGUGUGUGAAGAAGGCCUUCGGGUUGUAAAGCACUUUCAGCGGGGAGGCGUUACCCGCAGAAGAAGCACCGGCUAACUCCGUGCCAGCAGCCGCGGUAAUAC
rnacentral:rRNA from 1 species